rnacentral:rRNA from 1 species
CCAGCAGCCGCGGUAAUACGAAGGGGGCUAGCGUUGUUCGGAAUUACUGGGCGUAAAGCGCACGUAGGCGGAUAUUUAAGUCAGGGGUGAAAUCCCGCAGCUCAACUGCGGAACUGCCUUUGAUACUGGGUAUCUUGAGUAUGGAAGAGGUAAGUGGAAUUCCGAGUGUAGAGGUGAAAUUCGUAGAUAUUCGGAGGAACACCAGUGGCGAAGGCGGCUUACUGGUCCAUACUGACGCUGAGGUGCGAAAGCAUGGGGAGCAAACAGGAUUAGAUACCCUG